GGUGGAUGUAGCCGGGUCUCUGGAAACAGCCAGGUGGAUGUAGCCGGGUCUCUGGAAACAGCCAGGUGGAUGUAGCCGGGUCUCUAGAAACAGCUAGGUGCAUGUAGCUGGGUCUCUGCAAACAGGCAGGCAGCUAUGGGGGAUUGGGGGUGGUCACUGGAAACAGCUAGAUGACUGUAGCUGACUCUUUAGUAACAGCCGAAUGUAACUAGGUCUCUGGAAAGUCACCUUGAGGACUGAGCUGGGAGAUGGGAGGUGCCUCGUGGGAGCUUAUGUCAUGGGUAGAGGAGCACAGUUUAUUGCCUGGCAGGGCGUACGUGUGGGAAUAGAUUCCCCGGCCUCUCUCUCCUCUCACCCUCUGCUCUCCUGACAGUGCCUCCCAUGGCUGAACUCAACCAGACACUAGACACAAGAAGAUGUUGGUGAUGCAAUCCAUAGAGUCAGCCUCCAGGGCAGAGACAAGGUGGGAAAGGACAGAGGGUGUAUUAGGAGAGGCCAGAACUUCCAGUGGGAACUGCUGCCACUGAACCGAGAAACCUAAAUGUAAGGGGAGUAGUUGGAUCCUAGAGUGGCAGGACUCAAGUGUCAGAAGUCAGUCGACAAAGGGAGAGCAUCUAACUUUCUAAGAGGGGUGGAGACAACCAAGUCCCAGCGCACAGAGGAUUCAGAGGUCUCCUGACAUGUGUGAGUGCGUUCAGAGCCUCCCCGUGGGGUCUCCUUCCCUCCUUCAGCCCGUCCAUCAACACAGCAUUGCGGGAUCCUUACCAUGGCAUCCAGCCCUGGAGAUGCUUCAGGAAAGUUGCAGGUCCAUGCUGCAGGACAGGCUCAGAUCAGCAGAGACGCAUCUCACAUCGGGCUGUGAAAUUCAAGUUGAGCUGCAAUUGGCAAUGAGAAAAAAAGGAGAAAUAAAGAAAUGCUGAC
rnacentral:lncRNA from 1 species